GGCACGUUUCUUCAACAGCACAUCAGAAAUUGCAGUAAUACAAGAUUUUGUGUGACAGUUAAAUAAUGUAUGUUUAUUUAAUCUUUUACAGUAAUGGAUACAUUUUAAUAAAGAUUACAUAAGAGCUGCAAACAAUAUUAUCUUGUUUUAUUCAUACAGGGUAUGUUGAAAAAGACAUUGAGUAAGGCAUGGCGUUUAAAUAAAAAAAAGAACUUGCAUUCGCAAGUCACGUGCAUUAUGUAUUGAAACAUACAAUACAUUUUUACAUAACUUUAUAUUUUUACCGUUCAUUGUUAACUGCUGUCUGAAGCAAGCCAGUUUUGAGCAACUGUCCCUUUAAAAAAUACAACCAAUAGCACUGACAGGGAAGGAUUAACAACCACUAGACAUUUUUAAGGUGGAAUGGAUAGUUCGGCGAAUAAGGAGCUGGCGAAUAAGGAGCUGGAGUCAGCCUCGUGUAAUAAUGAGACAUCUCUCUCUUUUUGCACAGAAUGCUGCGAGCUGAUUUGUGAUUGUCUGCAUACUAAGCCAAAGAAGAGUCUCACUCUGAAGGUCAUGGAUUAAGACAAGGGGAACAUCAGAAAACAACUCCUGUCAAGGCCAACCUUGAUUUCUGUCUGCUUUUCAUCUGCUGGACUGACAUGAGUGGCCUUUCCAUUCCUCCACUCAGGCCUUAACGUAUUGCAGGGCCUCGACUUAAAGCAGCAAUGUUUGCGUCUGGAGUUAAAGUCUCCAGCAGUGCAUCUACCAGCUACAAGAUCUUCAUGCAGACUUGACAGCGACUGAUGCGUGACCGGUAAUCAUCUCCCUUCAGCGUCUCCUGGGAAGGACCCUGGAAGAACUGUUCGUUCUUCUCUACC